CUUAGGUGAAAUGUCAGCAGUGUUCCUUUUGCUCCAACAAGUUUGAUCCAUUCUUAGAUCUAAGCCUCGAAAUUUUCAAGGCAGAAUCAUUGCAGAAAGCACUUGCAAAUUUCACUGCUGCAGAAUGGUUGGAUGGAGGGGAGAGGCAAUACAAUUGUCAAAGAUGCAAGCAGAAAGUUAGGGCUCUGAAACAGUUUACGGUUCAUAAGGCACCUUAUGUGUUAACUAUUCACUUAAAGCAGUUCCAUGCGCACAAUCCUGGACAGAAGAUUAAAAAGAAGGUUCAGUUUGACUGUGCUCUGGACCUAAAACCUUUUGUCAGGGGCUCAUAUAUCUCAAUGUUUUUCAAUACAGAUUACUGGUUGGCCAUUGGAGUUAAUGGCUUAUGCUUAUUUAGCUGUUAGUCCUCCAAGCAUGAUAGCGCAAUUUGAAGAGAUGGCUGCAGCAGCAUCAAAUAAAAGUACCGCCAAGAAAGAUUCGAGAUAUCCUGAAAUAGAGGAGCAAGUAUUGUGCGAAUCCAGUAUAUCAAAAUACAAUAAUUUCUUACAGGCAAGAAAACUUUUGAUGCCUUCAUCUCUUACUUU